AGUUCUCGAGACAAAGGAUCCAGAAACUGGUGGCUAUUGAUGGACAGGGACUCUAGUCUCCGAAUCAUGUUCACCCUAGUUCUGACACCGCUGAACUGAAGACAGCAUCUUUCUGACAUGUGGAGGGCUCCGUCCCAGAAGAUGACUUCUAGAUUCAGAUGCUGGUGACAGGCAAGGACUGUGGCUUGUGCUUCUGACCAACUGUCUACAUAUGCAGAGGUUCCCAUGAUCUAUUCAUCAAUUCCCAGCUGCAAGACUGACUCAACACUGCCACCAACUGCCUGGGGUCUGGCCCAGGGAAGGCAGCUCAGCCAUACAAGAAAGGAAUGACCAUGCAGAUGGGAUGCUUGAAGCAGGACAAGGGUGUGACAAGGCCAGCAUGAGAGGGCUGCUCCGGGGCUCCUGAGUCCUUCCUGUUUC